rnacentral:SRP_RNA from 1 species
GUCAGGCACAAGGGCUGUUUCUGUAAUCCUAACUGCUCCGGAGCUGAGACAGGAGUAUCGCUUGAGCUCAGGAGUACUGAGCUCUAGUGAGCUAUGCAAAUCAGGUGUCCGCACUAAGUUGAGCAUAAAUACUGGUGACUUGGGGGACAGGAACCACCAGGUUGCUUACGGAGAGGUGAACCGGCCCGGAUCAGAAAUGGAGCAUGUCAAAGCUCCAGUGCUGAUCUGUAGUAGGAUCAUGCCUGCGAAUCCACAGGCAUGGACAACACAGUGAGACCCCAUCUCU